UAAAAAAAUGCUUGCAACAUAUUAAGCAAAACACAAAUGCAAGAUAAAAAUUUGGAAAGAUCCAACUGUGUUAAAACAUGCUUAGCAAAAAAGACUCUAUGGAAACAUUCUAAUUUAUUAAAGGUGAUUAUCUCUGGAUGCUGGAAUAAUAAGUGAUUUUUAAACUACUUGUCUGUCCUUUCCAGGUCUGUAUUUGGUAAUUCAUUAAUUCUCCCAAAAACAAUUUUUAAAAAUAAAAUACAACCAAACUGACUAAAAGUAAAAAAACGAGAAAGCUAUGUAUAACUAAUCAAGCUGAAAUAGUGUUCUUCCAAACAUCAGCUAUCAAUAAAGCCAUGUGUUUCCUCUAAAUAGAAGAGAUAUAAUGGAAUUAGAAGCAAAAAAGCUAGUGGUAGGAUCUGCUUACUGUUUGUGUGGCCUUUAAAUAUUAUUAAAGUCUCUUGCCAUGAAUCUAGAUAUACUGAUUGCUUGUGUUUAAAAUCAACAUUAGCAAAAAUGUUUCUUAAAAACUUCUUAGUUGCCAGUUUGUAUAAUUGUGUUAAAAGUGCAUUUUAACAAUGAGCAUUAAUAGCUUUAGUGGCUGCAGAUUAAUAAAAGAGUCCUGUGCUUCCAUAGAGGGAACAUCUGAAGUAGGCAUUCCUUUUGUUUGGUAUUUUGUUUUAUCAGCAGCUGGUGGGGCUGGGGGAUGAGAGAGAAGGUGAGAAAUGUAGCCUGCACCUACCCAGCUUUAAGAGUGGUAGCAUCAUUUAUAAUUUCCCAGGAUUGAAUUGGUAACUCCUGCAGGGAGGAAAUUUCGCUGAGCUCUGAUUCUCUCCUGGGCUCCGCACACCUAAUUGUAUUUCUCCCAUACUGCGUUCCUGUUUGUCUCCUCAUUCAUCUUCUCUGGUGAGAUGACAACUCUGUCAGCACCCAUUUCCAAAUUCUAAUUUUCCUCCUCAUAACUUCUCACCUUACCGACCACAAACAGGAGAGAGGGAACCCAGCUGUUUUUAGCAGAUGCUUUAGAAAAAGACCAAACAGAAGCUAAAAUCCUGCAGGAAGGAAGACAGUUAGCUAAAUAAGGAUUGCAUCAGGGUUCUGUCUGCCUCUUCCUUUGUGAAGUUUGAUGGUUUAAUAACUUUAGGAGGUGUCAGUGUCUCAGAUGCAAAGACCAUCAUGAAAAAGUGGACUGAACUUCCAGGUCCCUUGCUCUGAAAUAUAAAUGCAUAAAAUGAACUUAUAAUUAUGAAAAGUUGAAUACAUUUCUAUUUAUUCCUGGAUGUUAAUGCUUCUAAUUCAGAAAAAGCAUCUGAUUAAUAACAGAGUUCUAAAUAAUAGAUCUGAUCCCUGUACUUAGCAUUUAGUUUUUCUUUCCUCAAAAAAAAAAACAAAAACAAAAAAACUCUGGAUUAUAACAUGUAAAAUAUAGUUAUUGUGAAAAAUUGGGAAACUACAGGCAAAGAAUGCUGUUUACUUAAUAUCAGUAUUCUAUAUUUUUUCUGAUUUGUUUCAGAGAAUCAAGCAACUGAAUAGAAUAAGUGUUUCAACAAACCUGGGUUUUAAUCAUGACUUGGCCACUUUCUGGCUGUGAUUAUGGACAAGUUUCUUCACCUCCCUAAAAGUUUUCUUUGAAUGAGAAUAGUCAUGCCUGCCUCAUGUAGUUGGCAUGAGAGUUAGAAAUAGUGUAUCCUUGGCACGUGAUAGGUGAUCAAUUAAUGUCACAUAUAAUAAUAUAACUACUAAUAACUACUAAUCACCUUUUAAGUUUAAGACUUUAAACAUUUUUAAAUGCCUGGGAAUUUCAACCCCAUUUCUAAUAGACAAAUAUACCUAGUGCAUGGAUCUGAGGAAGACACUACCAGUUUGUCAAAUGAGUGCACUUUCUCGAUGCCUCAGUAAGGGAUUUGCCACGUCUGACCUGCUCCUUAGUUUGUGAGAGCUCCCACCCAAUAGAAAAUCCCCAAAGGAGGAGGUCCAUUUCUCAAAUACCAUGAAACCCCACACAGCCAGGAGCUGCUCAAUGCAUACCCUCUGCUGCUGACACUGGCCCACAGAAAUAAUAAUUCAUGUCAGAUAUUGCUCAUUCAUCCUUCUCUUUCUGUCAGUGCAAAAAUCCUUGUAUAUCCCAGCUCUGUUUCACACAGUUUAGAAGUGGCCCCUGGUGUCCAGGAGAGCCUGAAUUGGCAAAAGCUGCCUCCACUAAUUGGAAAGUCUUUCUGGUGCUGUGUACUGUGUUGGUGGGAAAGCCUCCAGCUCCUGGGUUCUUAAUCAGAGCUGCACACUGACACAGUCUGAGGCCUUUUUUAAAAAAAAAGACUGAUGCUUGGGUCCCACCUACAGGAUUUCUGACUUAAUUGGUCUGGAGUUGGGCUCAGCUCUGGCUCACCUCACCCUGGGCUUCUGCCUUUUCAGUAGCCAUUGAAACCCUGUUACUGACCCUGCUCGGAGUAGUUAAGAGUCCAUGUGUGCUUUGGGAACUGGUUGUUUUAUCUUCUUCUUACUUCUAUUCCAACAUAGUUCCUCACCCAACUUUUUCAUCUCUAAUAUUUCUUUCUUCAGUCUCCAUGUUGGACCUGUAAACAAGGAAUUUCUGUGGGAAGAUUAAGAGCUGUUGUCCAGUGAAUUUGUAUUUCCUAAGUCCCUGCCUGUGCCCAGCACUGUUCUAGGCACUAUUUCAUUUAAUCUUCACAGCAAUCUUGCAAAGCAGGUGAGAGCAGCCUGUCUACUAGUGAGGAAACUGUGAUUCAUGGGGGCUAGUCCACUUACCCUGUAUCAUACAGCCAGGAAGAGCCUGGAUUCAAGUUCAGAUCAUUGUGAUUUCAAAACACUUCUUCUUUGUGCUCACCCUGCACCAUAAAAUCAGAGGUAGGGGAGAUGGUAGGCCGUUUAAAAGAGUGAAGCUGUGUGUAAUGCAGUAGGGGCAGGUGAGGACUGUGGCAAACUAGAAAUGGAUGCCCCAGUGAGAACAUUCAGAUGCAGAAUUUUUCAAACAUUGCAGGUUAACAAGACACACUGAAUUUGGCUUGUGGGCUACCAGCUUUUCAGGUUUUUUUCUCUUUUCCAACUUUGAAAAAUACCAUAGUCAUGCAAUUUCACUCUGCAACCACAUAGAAGAUGCAGAAGACUAUACUGUGUGGCCUUGAGUGGGAUAACUGAGAUGAAUGAGUGACAGAGGAAGGAGGAGGAUUCUGAUCUGGUAUGUUUAAUAGACCUUGCCAUCAGAGCUGCCCAGCAGAGGAACUCUGCACCAGAAGAACAGGGUGCUGAGCAGAGAGAAUGCUGCAGCACUCCUAAAGACAAGCUCCUCCCCAGGGACAGAAGGUACUGUUCUGUUAAACAUUUACUGAGCCUUUAGUAUGUGCCAUGCACUGUGCUGGGCACUGUGGGAACUGUCGAGAUGCAGGACCCUGGUGGAGGAGGCUGCAGUCCUCACUAGCCUGGUGUCACAUUAGCAGGUUUAUAUACAUUUGUUCUUUAACUUUUGUCAUAACCUUGAGAAGUAGUGCCAUUAACCCCAAUCAAAAGGUGAGGAUAUUGAGACUUAGCAAGAUUGAGAUACUUGUUCAAGGGCACAAGAGAGUGAAUGAUAGAGAGAGGACUUUAACUGAAAUUAAAAGUCUGUGCUUUUAAUGACUGUGCCAAAUAUCCUCCCUCAGUGGGGACGCCAGCUUGGAAUCCUGAGUCAUCACACAGGAAAUCUUUCCCAGCCCUGGUGUCCCAGAGCUCCAGCAUUAGCCCGCUGCACACUGGCCAAACCACAACAAGAAAAAGCAAAGCAACCUAAGAACUCCCAUCCACCAGCCCCCCCCUGGUUCCUGGGGUUGUGAUACAAGGACAGCAGUUAACUUGUUCCCAUCCAGUCAAAUACUAAGGAAGCCAGUUGCAAAUUGUCUUAAGUUUUUCACUCUGUCAUUUCUAAAGCAGAAAAUAAGGUAGGAGAUGUUCUGAGUGCAAGCACUGCACACCUUUUCUCAUUUCAAAUGUGACUUUGAGGUCAGCAUUACAGUAAAAUACCAAGAAACAAACAUAUUGAGGGGCAGUCUUGCAUUGUGAAGAGGACAUAGAGGGAGAGCUUAUGAGAUAUGAGUUUAAGUCCUGAUCCUACCACUUACUAGUUUGUAAUCUUGCAUUUCCCUUCAUUUCAGUGGGUUCUUGUUUCUGCAUGUAUAGAAAUGGGGCUUGCAGAUUGUUAUGAGUGUGUCACAGGUGCUCAAUAAGUUUGUGUUCCUUUCUUGAAAAAUAGCAGAAAAAUUGCUAACUGUGCCUUAAAAUUGGCAUAAGUUGAAAUCUUUCAAGAUUUACAAGAAUUGGCUUAUAAACUCAAUAUACCAGUCUAACAUGGGAUAUGAUCAUUUGAAGAGCAUAAUUAACUAAACUAGAGGAAGGGGAAGGGAAGAGGAAGGGCAACUGACACUGAUUAAGCCCCUGGCACAGGCCAGGCCGUGCUAGAUCUUUCAGGCAUUUCAUCUAACCCACACAGCAGCACUGUAAGAUGAGCAGUGGUACCCUCAUUCUCACAAAUGAUGACCCCUCAGACUGAGAGGCUAAGGAAACUGCCUGAGUAUUCAAGAUUAGAUUUGAACUCAGGUUCCCAGACUGCUCCAGCUCUUCUAGCAGGGACCAGAGUCUUUUGAUUCUUGUUGAAUAAAAGUUUCUUCUUAGGAGGCUGAGUUGAGUACAAACAUCGCAUCUCCCAUGCAUCUCUGAAGGCAGCAAUCUGCUGUUGUCCAAGUUAAUAGUUGCUCUUCCAACAGGAACUGGUGUGGACUUAUAUUUCUAAAAUUUCUGGUGUAUUCUCUCUACUCUAUAAAAUUUGGAAUAACUCCUGAUGAAAGAUAUUGAUAUUAUGACUUAUUUUUACAUGGAAAAGUAGGCUGUACGUUCAUAAGUGUGCAUUCAUAACUGUAAUUUGAGUGGCUUACAUUUACAAGUUUUUCAAUCAUUAUAGUUUUGGGGGGAGGACGUAUUCUUCUGGGAAGUUUAUUGAGAGUCCCACUGAAAUUAAGCCUCUCUUGCGCUAAAUAUAUGAGUUACCCAGUUUUACCAGAAGGCCUUAUCUGGUCCUGUUUCUUUCUGCUUUGCCCAGGGAAUUUGAAUAGUUGAUGUAGAAAGGAGAAAGGAGUUGGAGAUCUAGAAUUGGUAGAAUUAAGCAUUGUGUUGAGAAUUGUGACUGAGCCCUUCAAGAGACCUUUGUCUGACUUAAGCAUCUAAGAAUUCAAGCCUUGUUUUUCCUUCUCAUCCAUAAUGACAGCAGUGGGCCACAGAUGUCACAUGCUUUGCAUGCACCACCUCAUCUGUCUUUUUGGGAUUCUUCACAUGGUGGAAGAAUCAUCACUCACAGAAUUCAGAUUGCAUUCCGCUUCCCAGAGAAUUAGCUUUCAGUGGGCAGAAACUGAGUUUCUAUGUCUAAACACUACAGCAAAGAAUUUGACUAAUUGAACAUGAGUUUCUGUUCUCCUCACAAUAAUUUACUGCAGGCUAAUUGUUACACAUUUAAAUACUUUGAAUAAAUGAAUUAAAAGCCAGUUUUCAUCUUUGUUCAUCCGAUUCAUUAGGUGAUUUCAUUUUAGGAUAUGAGGAAGUAGAUGUGAUUCAUUGUGCAACAAAUGAACAAUUCACUCAUUUAUGUAAGGAGUAAGUAUUGGCUUGGCUAUCUCUGUGCUAAAAGAUGGGAUGAUUUGUUUCCCCUCCCCACUGCCAAGGUGACCACUGGGCAUACGGUCAGUGGCCACACAACACAAAUGCUGAUGGUGGAGCUAACUUAAUACAAAGAUAUUGCUUUGUAUUCAGGGUCACCUUCAUGCGCCAUAAAUAGAAAAUUAAGUAUGGUCCUAAAAGUAAAUACAGUAAGAAAAAAAACCUCUUUCAUAGUGCUUUAUUUUUGCAAGUGCUUUGGUAUGUGUUCUACACUUUGAUUGUUACACAACAACCCUGGAUGUCAGUAUUAUUAUUAUCCCCAUUUGACAGGUGAGAAAAGUAAAGUUCAGGGGACAUUAGUGCAUUGUUCAGAGAUACCCAGCUUGUAACUAAUAGAGACAGACUUGGAACCCAGGCCUCCUGAUGCCAAAAUGUUAUGCUCUUUCCAUUAUAGCUGCUGUAAUUAACAUAAACGGGCAGAAUGGGGAGAAAAAGAAAAGGUCGACCUAACGCUGUGUCUUUUGGCUGUUCUAGCUCCUAUCACAGGAGGCAGCCUGCCUCCAGGGGCUAAAACAGGGUGUGGUGUGUGGGAGGCUAGGCUGGGAGAUGAGCCUUGUCCCUGCCCGUCAUCCUCAAUGUGGGCACCAGGGAAAGCAGGAGCUUGGGGAAACCAUCCGUCUCCUGGGCCUGAGUAGGGAGGGGGAACCUGGGUGCAGCAUGAGGCAGGUGAGGACAAGGAGAUUCCCAGGGGAGGGGAUUUCACCACUCUGAGGUGAGAGCUGAGGGCUUUGGGCACAGGCAAAGAGGCGGCAGUCAGAGGCUCCAGGCGCUCCGAUGAUCGCUGCGACCCCGACCCCGACCCCGACCCUGAGUACUGUCUUUGCUCUCGCUCCCGGACACAUCCCUCUCCCAAGCAGCCUGCUGUGCGCUGCCCUGGGAGCGGCCCUCCUCCGGCUCCAGCGCGGCGGGCUCUAAAUGGGCCGAACCUCUGAAGUAUCCGCCUCAGAAAGGAGUCCUGGGAGGGAAAAUGGGGCUCUUGUUUGUUUGGAGCUACAUAAAAGGCUGUUACAAUUAUUUUCAGUCCGGCAGCCACUUUCUGGGAGGAUUCCGUAUGGUAAUAGAUGUAUUUACCACAACUGGUUUUUCUCCCAGUUGUGAAAAGCGGGGUGAACCUUAGACCCUCUUCCUCCUGUCAACCUUCUUUCUGAAAUAACUGAUUAAUAACCUUGUUACUUCCGAAGGGAGGGAUUCCUAAUCCUGUAACUAGUGUGAGCUGUAUCAGAAAGCUUUGGGUGGGUUGGUGGGUUGAUUGGUUGACUGAAUUUUUGUAGUUCUCCUGACUCCCCCCUCUUCCCUACCGGAUGAAUCAGUGUUGUAGCAAAGGCUUUAGCACCACACAGACCAGGGUUCAAAUCCCAGCUUUGCUGUUGAUUAUCUGUGAUUUGUGAGCCAGUAACUCUCCGAUCAUCAAUGAUCUCAUCUGUAAAAUGGUAGAAAUGCUACCAACCCGACAGAGGUGUAAAAAUCACAUGAAUACUGCAGUUAAAUGCUUACCAUAAAGUUAUACUCAGUGAAAUAAGCCAGACACAGAAGGACAAACGUUGUAUGUUUCCACGUAUAGGAAGAAUCUAGAGCAGUCAAGUCCACAGAGACGGAAAGAAUGGUGGUUGCCAGGCACUUGGCGGGGAGGGGACGCAGGUUAGUGUUUAAUGGGUACAGAGUUUUAGUUGGGGAAGAUGACAGAGUUGUGGAGAGAGACAGUGGUGAUGGCUGCACAACAGUUUGAAUAUACUUGAUGCCACUGAGCUGUACACUUAAAAAUGGCUGAAAUGGCAAGUGCUGCCCUAUGUUAUGUAUAUUUUACCGCAAUAAAAUAAACCCGUCUUUAAUGUUUACAGUGCCACUUGGCCAACAAUAAGUAAUAAAGGGCACUUUUGAUCCUGUGUCCCAGUCUUGGCACACUUCUAUCAGAUGUCAUUUUUCACACUGUAUUUUAUCCUCUGUGUCUGUCAUGACUUCCGUCUCCCAGAGUGUGAGGACUGUUGAUUAUCUCUUCUUCAUCCAUCCCAUCUCCAUAGCGUCUGGCACCUAGUAAGCACUCAGUAAAUGAUCUGGGGGAAGAGAGAAGGUUAUUAAUACUCUUCCCCUUUCAUCUUUUACAUCUUAGAGCCUCUAAACACAGCGGUACUAAGUCACUUAUUUCUCUUGGGCGCUAGAAUAUCGUUAUUUGUACCAAAAUAAUGAGCUCACACUACUGUACAAAUGUAUUAGUUUCUUUAAUCUUCAAUAAAUGUGGGAGAAAUUUCUCUAAAUUAAGUCUCUGAGGAUUGACUCCAUGCCAUUCUUAAGGAGUUCUAGUUUGCUCUAAAAAUAUAGAGGGAAUAAAAAUGGAGUGUAAACGUUGCUGUUCCUUUAGAAGGAAAUGAAUCCUAUAUAGAGAGCAUCUUACCUGCAUGGAACUGGAGCCCCGCACAGUCCAAUCUAGUGUCAUUUCAAAGAAACGGCAGUCAGAUGCCGUAGCUUUGAAGAAUCCUGCAGAGCAUUAAUGAAGUUUCCUGACAGUGGUGACUGGGGCGGGGGGUUGGGGGUGGGGACUCACAACACCUCACACAGAAAAUCUCUCAACAGUGUAUCUCUUUGCAUCUCCUUAAACCUCCCCAUUCACAGGAAUUACUAAAAUCAAUCUCCAACUUCUCUCCCUCUCUCUUCCCCCUCCCUUCCUGCCCUUCCCUCUCCUCCCUACUCUGUUCUCAUCCAUCUCUGCCAACCCUCACCCAAAGUCCAGGCUCCUUGGACUUGACUGUCCCCUCUGUACACACUCCCUGGGAGGCAUGGCCAAGUCCCCAGCUCUGACUGGUACCCAGCCAGAAUCGGCACAUUUUCAUCCCCCUCCCUGAAACUCUGGUGAAUAAAAUUAAAAUUCUGCACCUUGUGAAACGCUGAGGAGUCCCAAUGCCAAGCAUUUUGGGGCUGUACUGCGGGAGACCCAUUUGGCUGUGAUUAUACCAGUUCCAUCUUUUUUUUUUUGCCCACCCUCAUUUUACAGGACAAGAAAUCAGUACUAAAUCACAUCAGUUCGUUCUUUCUCUGGGUAAGUGCUUUCCAGCUUUUUUCAGCUGUGCACCCUCAGACCCUACUCUUCUCAGGCCCUCUCCAAGGAAACAUGACUGGUCACAGCCCUGCCUGGUCACUCGUGGGGAUCAGGGCAGCUCCUGGCCCAGCUGUAACCUCCACAUGACUCAUGUACAUGUUAGGUGGGAUGCUCUGCUCUGGACAAUAAGAGAAGUCUAGGUGUGUGAAUUGUCAAUUCAUUGGACCUCUCUGCACUUGUAUAAAUGAGGGGCCUAACUGGGUUGUAUGUUCUGAAGUCUCCCCCAGGCCUAAAAGUCUACGUGUCUGUGGUUAACACAGAAAGCCACCUGUACUCAAAGCUAAGAUUCAGCCUCUGCUUUCUUCAGGCUUCCUUUGAAGCUUUAUUUCCCCAAGACCAAAAUAUUUUAUUCACCCUCUUCGGAACCCUCUAGAAGUCUUUAGUUUAAGGCUUCAAAAAUGACCAUCCACACAGAUUACCAAGACCCCCCCCCACCCACA